rnacentral:rRNA from 1 species
UACGUAGGGUGCGAGCGUUAAUCGGAAUUACUGGGCGCAAAGCGUGCGCAGGCGGUUUUGUAAGCCAGAUGUGAAAUCCCCCGGGCUUAACCUGGGAAUGGCAUUUGGGACUGCAAGGCUUGAGUUUGGCAGAGGAGACUGGAAUUCCUGGUGUAGCAGUGAAAUGCGUAGAUAUCAGGAGGAAUACCGAUGGCGAAGGCAGGUCUCUGGGCUGAAACUGACGCUCAUGCACGAAAGCGUGGGGAGCAAACAGG